rnacentral:rRNA from 1 species
AUUGAACGCUGGCGGCAUGCUUUACACAUGCAAGUCGAACGGCAGCACGGGCUUCGGCCUGGUGGCGAGUGGCGAACGGGUGAGUAAUGCAUCGGAACGUGCCCAUGUUGUGGGGGAUAACUACGCGAAAGCGUGGCUAAUACCGCAUACGCCCUGAGGGGGAAAGCGGGGGAUUCUUCGGAACCUCGCGCAAUUGGAGCAGCCGAUGUCAGAUUAGCUUGUUGGUGAGGUAAAGGCUCACCAAGGCGACGAUCUGUAGCGGGUCUGAGAGGAUGAUCCGCCACACUGGGACUGAGACACGGCCCAGACUCCUACGGGAGGCAGCAGUGGGGAAUUUUGGACAAUGGGGGCAACCCUGAUCCAGCCAUGCCGCGUGAGUGAAGAAGGCCUCGGUUGUAAGGACUCUUUCUAGCCGGGAA